AGAAUCAACGCUGGCGGCGUGCCUAACACAUGCAAGUCGCACGAGAAAGGGGAGCAAUCCCUGAGUACAGUGGCGCACGGGUGAGUAACACGUGAAUGAUCUACCUCCGAGUGGGGAAUAACUGAGAGAAAUCUUAGCUAAUACCGCAUAAUACCCACGGGUCAAAGCAGUAAUGCGCUUGGAGAGGAGUUCGCGGCAGAUUAGUUAGUUGGCGGGGUAAUGGCCCACCAAGACGAUGAUCUGUA
rnacentral:rRNA from 1 species